rnacentral:tRNA from 3 species
GGAUCAGUAGCUCAGCUGGUUAGAGCGCACGGUUCACAUCCGUGAGGUCAGAGGUUCGAGCCCUCUCUGGUCCACCA